UGGGGAAUGAUUGGAUCAAUGGGCGACGAAGCCAUGCAUCCAGCCCAUACCGCGUGGGUGAAGAAGGCCUUCGGGUUGUAAAGCCCUUUUGUUGGGAAAGAAAAGCAUUCGGUUAAUACCCGAUUGUUCUGACGGUACCCAAAGAAUAAGCACCGGCUAACUUCGUGCCAGCAGCCGCGGUAAUACGAAGGGUGCAAGCGUUACUCGGAAUUACUGGGCGUAAAGCGUGCGUAGGUGGUUGUUUAAGUCUGUCGUGAAAGCCCUGGGCUCAACCUGGGAAUUGCGAUGGAAACUGGGCGACUAGAGUGUGGCAGAGGGUAGUGGAAUUCCUGGUGUAGCAGUGAAAUGCGUAGAGAUCAGGAGGAACAUCCGUGGCGAAGGCGACUGCCUGGGCCAACACUGACACUGAGGCACGAAAGCGUGGGGAGCAAACAGGAUUAGAUACCCUGGUAGUCCACGCCCUAAACGAUGCGAACUGGAUGUUGGGUGCAAUUUUGGCACGCAGUAUCGAAGCUAACGCGUUAAGUUCGCCGCCUGGGGAGUACGGUCGCAAGACUGAAACUUAAAUGAAUUGACGGGGUCAUAGCUG
rnacentral:rRNA from 1 species